rnacentral:rRNA from 1 species
AUUGAACGCUGGCGGCAUGCUUUACACAUGCAAGUCGAACGGCAGCACGGGGCAACCUGGUGGCGAGUGGCGAACGGGUGAGUAAUAUAUCGGAACGUACCCAAGAGUGGGGGAUAACGUAGCGAAAGUUACGCUAAUACCGCAUACGAUCUAAGGAUGAAAGCAGGGGAUCUUCGGACCUUGUGCUCCUGGAGCGGCCGAUAUCUGAUUAGCUAGUUGGUGAGGUAAAGGCUCACCAAGGCGACGAUCAGUAGCUGGUCUGAGAGGACGACCAGCCACACUGGAACUGAGACACGGUCCAGACUCCUACGGGAGGCAGCAGUGGGGAAUUUUGGACAAUGGGCGCAAGCCUGAUCCAGCAAUGCCGCGUGAGUAAAGAAGGCCUUCGGGUUGUAAAGCUCUUUUGUCAGGGAAGAAACGGUGGGGGCUAAUAUCCCUCGCUAAUGACGGUACCUGAAGAAUAAGCACCGGCUAACUACGUGCCAGCAGCCGCCGUAA